rnacentral:rRNA from 1 species
GAUGAACGCUAGCUACAGGCUUAACACAUGCAAGUCGAGGGGAAACGAUAUUGGAAGCUUGCUUCUGAUAGGCGUCAACCGGCGCACGGGUGAGUAACGCGUAUCCAACCUGCCCAUCACUUGGGGAUAACCUUGCGAAAGUAAGACUAAUACCCAAUGACGUCUCUAGAAGACAUCUGAAAGAGAUUAAAGAUUUAUCGGUGAUGGAUGGGGAUGCGUCUGAUUAGCUUGUUGGCGGGGUAACGGCCCACCAAGGCGACGAUCAGUAGGGGUUCUGAGAGGAAGGUCCCCCACAUUGGAACUGAGACACGGUCCAAACUCCUACG